rnacentral:rRNA from 1 species
AGUGAACGCUGGCGGUAGGCCUAACACAUGCAAGUCGAACGGCAGCACAGUAAGAGCUUGCUCUUACGGGUGGCGAGUGGCGGACGGGUGAGGAAUACAUCGCAAUCUACUUUUUCGUGGGGGAUAACGUAGGGAAACUUACGCUAAUACCGCAUACGACCUACGGGUGAAAUCAGGGGAUCUUCGGACCUUUCGCGAUUGAAUGAGCCGAUGUCGCAUUAGCUAGUUGCGGGGUAAAGGCCCACCAAGGCGACGAUCCGUAGCUGGUCUGAGAGGAUGAUCAGCCACACUGGAACUGAAACACGGUCCAGACUCCUACGGGAGGCAGCAGUGGGGAAUAUUGGGCAAUGGGCGCAAGCCUGAUCCAGCCAUGCCGCGUGGGUGAAGAAGGCCUUCGGGUUGUAAAGCCCUUUUGUUGGGAAAGAAAAGCAGCAGGUUAAUACCCCGCUGUUCUGACGGUACCCAAAGAAUAAGCACCGGCUAACUUCGUG